AACAGCUUUACUUAGAAGUCAUGUAGCAAAAUACAAUGAUGAUGCAAUAGAAUAAAUUAGAAUACCUAUUGUAAUGUGACAAGUCAAUAGAUGGCAUAACAACAGUUCAGCUAAUGGUGGAGACUUAUAAACAUUAAAGUAAAUUUAACCACUACUCACUACAACCAAGGCUUAGCUUUAAAAACAACAUACACAAGCACAUUCAUCAUUAACAUUGUACAAACUCAAGCCCUUCCAGACUGUGCACCCCAUGGUUUUAAAAUACCAGACACUUUCUUGAGGCCUCGCCUCCCUUCCCAUGAAACUCCUCACACUCUUUUUGAGUUCCUUGAUUUUUUUCUCAGCCUUCUCUCUCCUCCAGCUUCCCUUAGCCAAUGCCUCAUCCUUCAGUCUCCCAGCCUGUCACUGUAGUCCCUGUAGUGUGUUAACUAGGAAUUCAGAUCUUGCCUAUGGUUAACUGGAUGUGCUCUAAGUUCCACACCUCAGACUCCCUACCCAGCAGACUCAUUCCCCCAAACCGCAUCUAUCAAUGGAGAGAAAACUAAGGACAGGAUUAACUAUAAAGCAAACUGGUUUAUUAAACAGUGACUCAAACAGGAAAAAGUAACUUAUAGGACCCUCAGCAAAACAACACACAAAUGGCAUACAGGUGCAACAAACUGACAUAAAGUCAAGGUCCCAAACUCAUGAGGACAAAGGGGAAUUUACUACAGAUAAGGUACAGAGGUACACAGCAUACUACACCAGGUUCAGAGGAAUGGACCCAUGACAGAGGACAUCACAGUUGGAAUACAUCAGGACAGCAAGAUGAGGACACAGGAGUUCAGGAUACAGGUAAGACAGGAAUCAGUCAGGAACUUACAGCUAGAACUAUGGAGUUUAGCUCUUCUUCUGUGGUCUUCUGUAGAUCCCUCAAAGUCUUGGCUAAGACAUGUACUGCGCUGCCACCAGGAAGGACAGCCUCUCCUCUCAGGAUGUAAGUUAUGUCCUUGGCUUUGUAUAUGGCAUGCGGUUUGUAAUAGAAGAAAGGAAGUAUUCUGCAGAAGAUAAUUCACAUAAGCACAAGAUCUUGGAUUACUUAGAAAAACAAACAUAAAACUAUGGAAACUGCAUACAAGUCUGGAGCAGGGAAGAGCACGGUAUGUUACAUUAGAACAGCAAAAGAAAAGGUGGAUUUAUUUUAAUUGUAUUUCUUUGGAUUUUGUUAGAGCCAGAGUUGGUGGUACCACCUAUAGUUAAGGUUUCAUAGAUUUUAAUGCCAGAAGGCACAAUUCAAUCAUCUUGUCUGACCUCCUAUAUAACACAAGCCAUAGAAUUUCACCCAGUACUCCCUGAAUUGAAAACAGUAGCUUGUAUUCGACUAAAGUGUAUCUUCCAGAGAGGCAUCUAGUCUUGACCUGAAAACAUCAAACGGUGGAGAAUCUAUCACUUCCUUGGUAGUUUGUUCCAAUGAUUAAUCACCCUCACUAUUACAAAUGUAUACCCUAUUUCUAAUGUGCCUGUCACUUUCCAUUAUAAGACCUUGUUUUCAGUUGCUUAAAACUUUGCCAAAUUAACAGUUUGAGCUAAAACUUUCCAUGCUGGGUGUCUGCCUAUGCUGAAUUUUUUGGGGGAAGUUUCAGCUAAAUGGGUUCGUUGCUCCUUAGAAUGAGGUUAGGAAAAAUGCGUCGUUUGCCCAUGUUAAAAAAAUUCUUACAACUGUUUUGUUGAGAAGCUCUAGCAUCUCCAUGAUUUGGGACAGAGACUUGAAAUGUGGCAGGAAGGUCACCCUGCUGUCAGGGAUGUGCCUUUUGCCAUGCCUGUGAAAAUUUGCCUAAAUUUAGCCAAGUUAUAAGCCACCCAAAAAACUCAGUUUGCACAUGCUUACUAGCCUCUUGUUACAGUUUGGCAGCUAAUUUCUCU
rnacentral:lncRNA from 1 species